rnacentral:rRNA from 2 species
CUUAAUUGGGCGUUAAGUUGCAGGGUAUAGACCCGAAACCCGGUGAUCUAGCCAUGGGCAGGUUGAAGGUUGGGUAACACUAACUGGAGGACCGAACCGACUAAUGUUGAAAAAUUAGCGGAUGACCUGUGGCUGGGGGUGAAAGGCCAAUCAAACCGGGAGAUAGCUGGUUCUCCCCGAAAGCUAUUUAGGUAGCGCCUCGUGAAUUCAUCUCCGGGGGUAGAGCACUGUUUCGGCUAGGGGGCCAUCCCGGCUUACCAACCCGAUGCAAACUGCGAAUACCGGAGAAUGUUAUCACGGGAGACACACGGCGGGUGCUAACGUCCGUCGUGAAGAGGGAAACAACCCAGACCGCCAGCUAAGGUCCCAAAGUCAUGGUUAAGUGGGAAACGAUGUGGGAAGGCCCAGACAGCCAGGAUGUUGGCUUAGAAGCAGCCAUCAUUUAAAGAAAGCGUAAUAGCUCACUGGUCGAGUCGGCCUGCGCGGAAGAUGUAACGGGGCUAAACCAUGCACCGAAGCUGCGGCAGCGACGCUGAUGCGUUGUUGGGUAGGGGAGCGUUCUGUAAGCCUGCGAAGGUGGCCUGUGAGGGUUGCUGGAGGUAUCAGAAGUGCGAAUGCUGACAUAAGUAACGAUAAAGCGGGUGAAAAGCCCGCUCGCCGGAAGACCAAGGGUUCCUGUCCAACGUUAAUCGGGGCAGGGUGAGUCGACCCCUAAGGCGAGGCCGAAAGGCGUAGUCGAUGGGAAACGGGUUAAUAUUCCCGUACUUGGUGUUACUGCGAAGGGGGGACGGAGAAGGCUAUGUUGGCCGGGCGACGGUUGUCCCGGUUUAAGCGUGUAGGUGUGUGUUCCAGGUAAAUCCGGUUCACUUUAACACUGAGGCGUGAUGACGAGGCACUACGGUGCUGAAGCAACAAAUGCCCUGCUUCCAGGAAAAGCCUCUAAGCAUCAGGUAACAUCAAAUCGUACCCCAAACCGACACAGGUGGUCAGGUAGAGAAUACCAAGGCGCUUGAGAGAACUCGGGUGAAGGAACUAGGCAAAAUGGUGCCGUAACUUCGGGAGAAGGCACGCUGACACGUAGGUGAAGUGAUUUACUCAUGGAGCUGAAGUCAGUCGAAGAUACCAGCUGGCUGCAACUGUUUAUUAAAAACACAGCACUGUGCAAACACGAAAGUGGACGUAUACGGUGUGACGCCUGCCCGGUGCCGGAAGGUUAAUUGAUGGGGUCAGCGCAAGCGAAGCUCCUGAUCGAAGCCCCGGUAAACGGCGGCCGUAACUAUAACGGUCCUAAGGUAGCGAAAUUCCUUGUCGGGUAAGUUCCGACCUGCACGAAUGGCGUAAUGAUGGCCAGGCUGUCUCCACCCGAGACUCAGUGAAAUUGAACUCGCUGUGAAGAUGCAGUGUACCCGCGGCAAGACGGAAAGACCCCGUGAACCUUUACUAUAGCUUGACACUGAACAUUGAGCCUUGAUGUGUAGGAUAGGUGGGAGGCUUUGAAGUGUGGACGCCAGUCUGCAUGGAGCCGACCUUGAAAUACCACCCUUUAAUGUUUGAUGUUCUAACGUGGACCCGUGAUCCGGGUUGCGGACAGUGUCUGGUGGGUAGUUUGACUGGGGCGGUCUCCUCCUAAAGAGUAACGGAGGAGCACGAAGGUUGGCUAAUCCUGGUCGGACAUCAGGAGGUUAGUGCAAUGGCAUAAGCCAGCUUGACUGCGAGCGUGACGGCGCGAGCAGGUGCGAAAGCAGGUCAUAGUGAUCCGGUGGUUCUGAAUGGAAGGGCCAUCGCUCAACGGAUAAAAGGUACUCCGGGGAUAACAGGCUGAUACCGCCCAAGAGUUCAUAUCGACGGCGGUGUUUGGCACCUCGAUGUCGGCUCAUCACAUCCUGGGGCUGAAGUAGGUCCCAAGGGUAUGGCUGUUCGCCAUUUAAAGUGGUACGCGAGCUGGGUUUAGAACGUCGUGAGACAGUUCGGUCCCUAUCUGCCGUGGGCGCUGGAGAACUGAGGGGGGCUGCUCCUAGUACGAGAGGACCGGAGUGGACGCAUCACUGGUGUUCGGGUUGUCAUGCCAAUGGCACUGCCCGGUAGCUAAAUGCGGAAGAGAUAAGUGCUGAAAGCAUCUAAGCACGAAACUUGCCCCGA